rnacentral:sRNA from 1 species
UGCAAAUAGAAACAUAUCAUCUAUAGUCUUUUGUGACUGACUUAUUUCACUGAGCAUUUAAUACAUAUCAUUUAAAUCAUAUGCAUUUGUGUGUGUGUGUGUGUGUGUGUGUGUGUGUGGUGCUGGGAAUUGAACCCAGGGUCUUGUGCAU